rnacentral:sRNA from 1 species
CUUGGCUUUGUAUCUUCUAACCAGGAAACACUACUUAGGCUUUUAAAAUCCGUUUGCGGUGCUAGUUGUCAUACUCAAUCAUACAUAUAACAUCUAGUCAUAUUUGACUCCAAAACACUAAGUAAUC